GCCUUCGUAGCUCAGAGGUAGAGCAUCCGACUCUUAAUCGGAGGGGCGGGAUUUCGAAAUUCCCCGGAGGCA
rnacentral:tRNA from 1 species